rnacentral:sRNA from 1 species
CCGUUCCCUUCAGGACCACCAAUAAUCCCGCCACCCCCUCCCAUCUCUCCCGACUGUCUGGAUGACACUGAUGCCCUGGGCAGUAUGCUAAUCUCUUGGUACAUGAGUGGCUACCACACUGGCUACUAUAUGGGUUUCAGACAAAAUAAAAAAGAAGGAAAGUGCUCACAUACAAAUUAAGAACCAGGUCUAAAAUUCAACGGCCCG